rnacentral:rRNA from 1 species
CAAACCAAAGCUGGCGACCGGCGCACGGGUGAGUAACACGUAUCCAACCUGCCUCAUACUCGGGGAUAGCCUUUCGAAAGAAAGAUUAAUAUCCGAUAGCAUAUAUUUCCCGCAUGGGUUUUAUAUUAAAGAAAUUCGGUAUGAGAUGGGGAUGCGUUCCAUUAGUUUGUUGGGGGGUAACGGCCCACCAAGAUUACGAUGGAUAGGGGUUCUGAGAGGAAGGUCCCCCACAUUGGAACUGAGACACGGUCCAA